rnacentral:rRNA from 1 species
GAUGAACGCUGGCGGCGUGCCUAAUACAUGCAAGUCGAGCGAACAGAUAAGGGGCUUGCUCCUUUGACGUUAGCGGCGGACGGGUGAGUAACACGUGGGUAACCUACCUAUAAGACUGGAAUAACUCCGGGAAACCGGGGCUAAUGCAGGAUAACAUGCUGAACCGCAUGGUUCUACAGUGAAAGGCGGCUUUGCUGUCACUUAUAGAUGGACCCGCGCCGUAUUAGCUAGUUGGUGAGGUAACGGCUCACCAAGGCAACGAUACGUAGCCGACCUGAGAGGGUGAUCGGCCACACUGGAACUGAGACACGGUCCAGACUCCUACGGGAGGCAGCAGUAGGGAAUCUUCCGCAAUGGGCGAAAGCCUGACGGAGCAACGCCGCGUGAGUGAUGAAGGUCUUCGGAUCGUAAAACUCUGUUAUUAGGGAAGAACAAAUGCGUAAGUAACUGUGCGCGUCUUGACGGUACCUAAUCAGAAAGCCACGGCUAACUACGUG